rnacentral:rRNA from 1 species
GAUGAACGCUGGCGGCGUGCCUAAUACAUGCAAGUCGAGCGAACAGACGAGGAGCUUGCUCCUCUGACGUUAGCGGCGGACGGGUGAGUAACACGUGGAUAACCUACCUAUAAGACUGGGAUAACUUCGGGAAACCGGAGCUAAUACCGGAUAAUAUAUUGAACCGCAUGGUUCAAUAGUGAAAGACGGUUUUGCUGUCACUUAUAGAUGGAUCCGCGCCGCAUUAGCUAGUUGGUAAGGUAACGGCUUACCAAGGCAACGAUGCGUAGCCGACCUGAGAGGGUGAUCGGCCACACUGGAACUGAGACACGGUCCAGACUCCUACGGGAGGCAGCAGUAGGGAAUCUUCCGCGAUGGGCGAAAGCCUGACGGAGCAACGCCGCGUGAGUGAUGAAGGUCUUCGGAUCGUAAAACUCUGUUAUUAGGGAAGAACAAAUGUGUAAGUAACUAUGCACGUCUUGACGGUACCUAAUCAGAAAGCCUCGGCUAACUACGUG